CGAGCACGCGCGCGUGGCAUAUCAAUAAGCGGAGGAAAAGAAACUAACAAGGAUUCCCUUAGUAACGGCGAGUGAAGCGGGAAGAGCUCAAAUUUGAAAUCUUCAAGGUUCUACCUUGACGAAUUGUAGUUUAUAGAAGUGUUUUCUGUUAAGUGGAGUGGCAAAAGUUCUUUGGAAUAGGACAUCAUAGAGGGUGAGAGUCCCGUAUUUGGUCAUUCCUCCUAGCGUAUGUGAUACACUUUCAACGAGUCGGAUUGUUUGGGAAUGCAGUCCAAAAUGGGUGGUAAAUUUCAUCUAAAGCUAAAUAUUGGCGAGAGACCGAUAGCGAACAAGUACCGUGAGGGAAAGAUGAAAAGAACUUUGAAAAGAGAGUUAAACAGUACGUGAAAUUGUCAAAAGGGAAGCGUUUGACACCAGUGUUGUUUUUCCGAAAAUCAAUUACGAAUGUUUUAUUUUUGAGGAGUUAUGACUUCAUCGGCUUGCUCCUUUCUUUACUGAAACUUUCUUAAUGCACUUUUCGGUUAACAAGUCAACAUCAAUUUCUUUUGUUGUAAAAGGGUAUGAGGAAGGUGGCUUUCUUUUCGGAGAAAGUGUUUAUAGCCUUGUGCCUCUGCAAUCGGAGAGAUUGAGGUCUGCAGCGUAGAUCCUUCGGGGUUAGGAUACACUUUGUGCUAAGUUAUAGCUUUUCAUAGACAACUUGUUGACUAUGUUUAGUCUUGUAGCUUACUCGCUGACGCUAUUUUACCUACGCUUAGGAUGUUGAACUCUAUCACACACAG
rnacentral:rRNA from 1 species